rfam:Camelus ferus unplaced genomic scaffold scaffold56579, whole genome shotgun sequence.
ACACAAUCAUAAAAUCUUCCCACCUUAAAAGAUCCUUUCCAAGUAUUUCUUUUGUUUUUUAACCUAUAAAAGAUAAUGGAAUAUAUUUUAUAGAUUGGAUUUUACCUUAUCCCCUUUCCUUCUCCCAACUGCACUCAGCUUAAUAGUUGUCAGUUUUUCCUCAGUGUUGAAUUUAAUUAUAUAGGACCAAAACAUACCUCAGUAAAUUAGCUUGCUAAAUAUUCUGUCACUUUGUGAUUCUGCCUUUGAGAAACACCUUAAUUACAGAAAUCUAUCU